rnacentral:rRNA from 1 species
AAUGAACGCUGGCGGCGCGCCUAAUACAUGCAAGUCGAGCGAGAAGACGUAGCAAUACGUUUGUAAAGCGGCGAACGGGUGAGGAAUACAUGGGUAACCUACCCUCGAGUGGGGAAUAACUAGCCGAAAGGUUAGCUAAUACCGCGUACGCUCCUUGGACUUUGGUUCAGGGAGGAAAGCGAUACCGUGGGUAUCGCGCUCUUGGUUGGGCUCAUGUCCUAUCAGCUUGUUGGUGAGGAACGGCUCACCAAGGCUUCGACGGGUAGCUGGUCUGAGAGGACGAUCAGCCACACUGGCACUGCGACACGGGCCAGACUCCUACGGGAGGCAGCAGUAAGGAAUAUUGCGCAAUGGGCGAAAGCCUGACGCAGCGACGCCGCGUGGGGGAGUGAAGGU